rnacentral:tRNA from 1 species
GGGCUCUGUCUCAGCGGUAGAGCGUCUGCUUGGCAUACGGAAGGUCCCGGGUUCAAUCCUGGUCAUGUCCA